GUCGAGAAUUUUUCACAAUGGGGGAAACCCUGAUGGAGCGACGCCGCGUGGGGGAUGAAUGGCUUCGGCCCGUAAACCCCUGUCAUUUGCGAUCAAAGCGCAUUAUUUAAAAGAUGAUGUGUUGAUAGUAGCGGAAGAGGAAGGGACGGCUAACUCUGUGCCAGCAGCCGCGGUAAUACAGAGGUCCCGAGCGUUGUUCGGAUUCACUGGGCGUAAAGGGUGCGUAGGUGGUGGGGUAAGUCGGAUGUGAAAUCUCGGAGCUUAACUCCGAAACGGCAUUGGAAACUGCCCUGCUUGAGGGUUGGAGGGGGGACUGGAAUACUUGGUGUAGCAGUGAAAUGCGUAGAUAUCAAGUGGAACACCGGUGGCGAAGGCGAGUCCCUGGACAACACCUGACACUGAGGCACGAAAGCUAGGGGAGCAAACAGGAUUAGAAACCCCAGUAGUCC
rnacentral:rRNA from 1 species